UGGGGAAUAUUGCACAAUGGGCGAAAGCCUGAUGCAGCAACGCCGCGUGAGUGAUGAAGGCCUUCGGGUUGUAAAGCUCUGUCUUUUGGGACGAUAAUGACGGUACCAAAGGAGGAAGCCACGGCUAACUACGUGCCAGCAGCCGCGGUAAUACGUAGGUGGCAAGCGUUGUCCGGAUUUACUGGGCGUAAAGGAUGCGUAGGCGGAUUUUUAAGUGAGAUGUGAAAUACCCGGGCUUAACUUGGGUGCUGCAUUUCAAACUGGGAAUCUAGAGUGCGGGAGAGGAGAAUGGAAUUCCUAGUGUAGCGGUGAAAUGCGUAGAGAUUAGGAAGAACACCAGUGGCGAAGGCGAUUCUCUGGACCGUAACUGACGCUGAGGCAUGAAAGCGUGGGUAGCAAACAGGAUUAGAUACCCUGGUAGUCCACGCCGUAAACGAUGAGUACUAGGUGUAGGAGGUAUCGACCCCUUCUGUGCCGCAGUUAACACAAUCAAGUACUCCGCCUGGGAAGUACGAUCGCAAGAUUAAAACUUAAAGGAAUUGACGGGGUCAUAGCUGUUUUCCU
rnacentral:rRNA from 1 species